rnacentral:rRNA from 1 species
UUUAUGGAGAGUUUGUUCCUGGCUCAGGAUGAACGCUGGCGGCGUGCCUAAUACAUGCAAGUCGAGCGAACGGACGAGAAGAUUGCUUCUCUGAUGUUAGCGGCGGACGGGUGAGUAACACGUGGAUAACCUACCUAUAAGACUG